rnacentral:tRNA from 1 species
GGAGAGGUACCGAAGCGGCCAAACGGGGCAGACUGUAAAUCUGCUGGCUCAUGCCUUCGGAGGUUCGAAUCCUCCCCUCUCCACCA